rnacentral:rRNA from 1 species
AUGGAUUUCGCGGCGAUGAAGCGGCGGGAACUGCAGGCGCUCUGCAAGGAGCACGGCCUCAAGGCCAACGGAUCCAACGCCGACCUGGCCGCCCGCCUCGCCGCCACGCUCUCGAUUCCUGGCGGUGCGGAGGAGGAUGCGGUCGGCGUCGUUGUGGGGAAGGGGUGUUUGAAGCGAUCGUUCGGCGGCGCUAGCGGCGGGGAUUCGGAUGCGGCUAAGAAGGUGACGUUUGUGUUGGAGGAAGAGGAGGAGGCGGAGGUGGGUGGCAGACGCCUCUUGUUGUCGCCUGUUGUUGCCAGGACGAGGGGUAGGCCAAGGGCCGCGGAGGCUCUCUCUCGCGCCCAAGAAAGUGGAGGGGAGCGUCGGAGAACGCGUUCCCAAGUUGGUGGUGAUUCUGCUGACGAAACUGAUACUGGACAGGUAGGUGCAGAUGCUGUGACGAGGCGACACAGGAGGAAUGCGGCGAAUUUGGGUGCAGGUGAUGUGGUUGAGAGGGUAGCUGGAGCUGUAGGCCGGAAAACCUCUGCCAAAGCUGAGCAACAAGAGCUGGACUCUGGAGAAGCAGUUGGUAGGAAGCAUCAGCUGAAGCGGAAGGCCAGCGAGAAUGACGCUGACAAUCUAGAUGUCAGUGUGCAAGUUGGUGUUUCUCGUAGAAGCACAAGGUCUAGUGCUGUUCAGUCUGAGCCUGCUGCCGCACCGUCUCCUGUUGUUCACAACAAAAGAGGGAGGAAGAAGGCGGGAGAUCUGAAGGAACAAGAUCGUGUCAAGGAGCAACCUACUGAAAUUCAACAUGUUGGUAGAACUCUAAGAUCUGGAUUGGUGGUGGCCGGCCCACUGUUGCCUACUGUUUCUGAAAAUAAGAGAAGUAGGUCAAAGGUGCCGGAAGGCGAAACUGAUGUGGAGAAGGUUGCUGAGGUGGAAAUAUCUGGUAGGACUACAAGAUCAAGCUCAGUACCAGCUGCUGCGACGUCACCCAUUGUCGUUGCGAAGAAGAGGAGAAAAACCAAGAAUGUCAACUCGGAUGAAGGGCAACAUACGGUUCCAGAUGUAUCAAAUGAUUCUCCAGUUACAAGGGUCUUGAGGAAUAGAGCUAUUCAGACAAUUGGCAGUACUGACUUGAAGGUAGCUCUCCCAACCAUGCUCAAUGCCGCCAAAGACGGCGUAGAAGAUGGUGUGGCUAAGCAAGAUGGGCAUGUGGGGUCCAAAAAGAGGAAAAUGUUGAAUCGCAGGGCUACAGUAGCCACAAAUGGCGGUGAAAUCCCAUUUUCUGAUAGCAGUGGUAAGGCUUCUGCUAUGGACAUGCACGUAGAGGUACCUGGGCCUGUGAGAAGAUCAAUGCGGAAAUCUGUUGUUCCAUCGUUUCUUGAGCAUGAAACCAAAGGCAUGCAUGGGGAUGUGGAGAUGAAAGAAACAGUGACAAAACCUGUUGGGCGAUCAACCCGGCGAUCUGUUGCCCCAGUUAUACUCGAGAAAGAGUCCAAGGGUCUCACAAAACCUGUGGAGAUCAAAGAAACAGUGACAAAACCUGUUGGGCGAUCAACCUGGCGAUCUGUUGCCACAGUUAUACUUGAGAAAGAGUGCAAGGGUCUCCCAAAAGAAAUGAUUCCUCAAGUGCAUGUUAAGCGACCAACAAAGAAAUCUCUUGUCCCGGCUAUGACUGUGAAAGGAACAAAGAGCAUCGUUACAGACAUGAUUCCAGAAGCACGUGCUGGAAGGUCAAUGCGGAAACCUGCUCUUGCUAUUCUUAAUAGUAAGAAGAAUGAUCACUGUGAAGCAGCCAUCCGCGAGAAGUGUUCAAGUGCUAAGAGUGAAGACUUGGAGAAGCAACAAACAGUCAAGCAACCUGUUAGACGGUUAACACGGAAAUCAUUUGUUCCGGCUGUGCUUGAGAAGGACAGGAAGGCUGUACCUGCAGAAAUGAAUCCUGAUGCACAGUUCAAUAAUGAGAAUGGUGAUCACACUAAAAUGAAAUGUGCUAAGGGUGGACACUUGGAGAAACAACUAGUAGUGAAAGAACCAUCUAGGCAAUCAACACACAAAUCUGUUGCCCCACAUGUGAUUGAGAAAGAAAUUAAGGGUUUACAAGAAGAAUCAAAGUCUGAAGUUCCUGUGAGCACAUCUGUGCGUAAACUGGCUUGUCUUAACGUGGUUGAUAAGGAGAGCAAGGAUCACAGAGAAAUUGUCCCACAUGUGAUUGAGAAAGAGAGUAAGGGUUCUCAAGAAGAGUCGAAGUCAGAUGUUCCUGUGAGGACAUCAGUGCGUAAACUGGCUGGUCCUAAUGCGGUUGAUAAGGAGAGCAAGGAUCACAGUGAAAUUGUCAGGAGGGAAGAGUCAAGUGUUCGCACAAGAAGCGCACAAACAAAACUCCAACGUUCUGUUCAGAAUGACGCGAGUCUGCGGCAAACAAGACACAGAUCUUCGAAGCUAGUGAUAUCACCGCUACCGUCAAAGCCAACAGCUUCAAAGGGAAGACCUGCAAAGAGGAGUAGAACCGCAUCUUUGGAAGAAGUCAUGCCUGCUGAAGAGCAGAAGGAAGACCAAAUUGCUUAUGGUGGCCACACGAGUGAUAUGAUUGAUGUUGCCAGUAGUGCUAAUAGCUUGGAAAGUGGGGUGCUGCCUUCCCCAGCUGAAAAAUCUGAUUUGCGUGACUCACAUCUUAACACUCAGCUGGAGGGCACAGUCGUUGAAUCCAGCAUCAGCCAUGGUAAAGAUGUUAGUAACAUUUUGGAGUUCGAGCUUGAGAGCACAGUAGUAGGUACCACUGAGAAGCCUCCGUCCGAUUUAGCUAUUCCGGACUGUACACAUGUAGGUGCUUUAUCUGAGGAAGCCCUGGACUCAAUAGAAAAUGAUGCUGCAAGGUGCUCACCAGUUCUUGAACAAUCACCCACUGGGCUACAGUUCCUAUUCUCACAGGGAAACAUAGAAGAACCUGAUACACAUAACACUAGUCCAUUUUUUAAAAAUGUCAUGGAAGAAUCAGAUGUUCACAAGGUUGAAUGUCAAGGUGAAACAGUUGUUUCAUUAAAACCUGACUCAUAUCAAGGCUCUGAUGAAUAUUCAAUUAGAGUCGAAGAAAGUGGAGGUUUAAUGUUUUCGUCUCAGCAAAAUAAUGAACAAGAAGGAUUUUCAGUGUCCACCCUCAGAAAAGAUUGGGUUGCAUCUGUUCAGUUGGAUUCGUCAGAGGAUUUGCAUCAUACAGUAAGGGAUAUUACUAGAAAGGACGUGAUCUGCAACGAGGAAGAGAAAACGGACUUUAUUCCUUCAGACAUUAAUGCUCCCCAUGAGAAAUCACAUGUGGAUGAACCUGCCGAGCACGUUUCUGGUGUUAGUGGAGCUCUAUUUUGCAUUUCACAGAGCACCACUGUUGUUGAUGAAGUAAAUUCGGAUUCUUCACCGCUAGAAUCAGUGGAUGCUUUAGAUAAUCACAUAGCAUCUUCUAAUACUGAAGGGCUUCAACAGGAUAAUAUAGAGGAAUGCAAUCUACACAAUGCAAGAGUCACAGAAGACAUCCAUGCAAGUGUCAUGUCUGAAGCUGCACAGGUUGCUGUACCAGAAAGUGGAAAAAUGCUGCAGCCAGAUGUAGAAACAUUAGUAUUGUCAGAUGAGCAGCUUAAGCGCAAGCUGGAGGGUGAUGAUCUCGAAGUACAAAGCUUUAGCCGCGGUGAAGAUGAAUCUCCAAAACAAUCUACAUCAUGUGAGGAUCAAAGCUUUUUAGGGUCAGGUAUUUGUCAAACUGUUUCGCGAAGGGAUACAGAUGUAGUUUGUGUCAAGGAUCAUAGAGAUGACUGCAAUCAACACAGUGAAGGUCAACUUACUUUAGGCAACCUAGAAAGUGACAUGUCUGAACCUGCACUUGAUGAACGAUCGGAAAGUGGAAUAUCAGUGCUCCGAGCUGAAGAAACAUCACCAUUUCCAGAUGAGCAGCUUAACACCAAGCUGGAGGGCAACACAGAACAAACCCUUAUCUGUGACAAAGACAGCAGCAAUGUUUCUCUCACUGAAUUUUUGGGAAACAAUCAUCUGUCUAGCUUGAAGGACCCUACAAUGGAUCCUUGCCAUGACCAGGAGCUCCCAAAUGACAUGCCUGCACCUAAAUCUCCUGAAGAAUCUGCAGUUUUUCUGGAUGACAAAGUCUUGGGUUCAGUGCAAAGCCUUAGCUGUGAUAAAGAUGGUAGCAUUGUCUCUGACACUGGAUCUUUGGGAAACAAGAAUCUGUCCAGCAUGGAGGACCCUUCAAUGGAUCCUUGCCAUGUCCAGGAACUCCCCUGUGGCCCUUCAAUGGAUCCUUGCCAUGACCAGGAACUACCCGGGGACAUGCCUGCACCUAAAUCACCUAAAUGUUCAGUAGGGAUUUGUCAAAUUAGUGCGAGCAUAGGCAAAGGAAACCACAUUGCUAUAGAUCCCCACCAUACCGUGAAGCAAUUGGAUAACCUGAACCAAUCUGCAGCUGCCUUGCUGAGAAACAGGGAGAACACACCUUGUCCCGAUACUCUUGAGCCUAGCAGUGAUCACUUGUUUGUGAUUGAUCCAUCAACACCUAUGGAGCCUCUACUGACGGAAGCAGGACUUAAAGUGGGCAGUUCUGACAAGAAACUACCUAUGGAGCAGGUUCAGCAAGAUGAUUUACAAGUGCAAGAAGGUACCAUAGGGAAGACAGCAUUAGGUUCAGCUACACCAGAGUGUAAACAUGAAUGUGUAUCACCUGAUAAAGCAGGACCACACUCAUUGAAGAAUGAGAGGUAUCCAUCAAGUAUUGAACAAUCAUUAUUUGAUCAGCAGUCCCUUUCUUCGCAGGAGGAUGUACAAGUACAGGAAGGUACCCUAGAGAAGACAGCACUAGGUUCAACUACACCAGAGUGUGAAGAUGAAUAUGGAUUUCCUGAUGAAGCAGAUCCACACUCAUUGAAGAACGAGAGAGGUUCAUUGAUUGUUGAACAAUCACCAUGUAGUCUGCCGACCCUUUUCAUGCAGGAAAGUGUAGAAGAACGCAGUGAAUGUGUUGUCCUUUCUUCAGCAAGAGUUCAGGCUGAAAAUGGAGUUUGUGAGUCAAAUCCUGGUUCAGACCAUGAUACUAGUGCGGACUUUAGUGCAGUUUCCAAAAGUGAAGAUUGUUUGGAUACUUCUCAGCAAGAUAAUGAAAAUGAAGGAUUAUCGGAGGUUAGUCACGAACAAGAUGAUUUCCAAGUACAAGAAGGUACCGUGGAGAAGACAACACUAGGUUCAGAUUUACCAGAGUGUAAACAUGAAUUUGGAUUACCUGCUGAAGCAGAACCCCACUCAUUGAUGAAUCAGAGAUCAAGUAUUGAGCAAUCGGCAUUUGGUCCGCAGUCCCUUAUCUUAAAGGAGGAAGGACAAGGACCACACUCAUUGAAGAAUGAAAGAUAUCCAUCAAGUAUUGCACAAUCAUCAUUUGAUCUGCAGCCCUUUUCCUUGCAGGAUGAUGUACAAGUACAUGAAGGUACCCUAGAGAAGACAGCACAAGGUUCAGCUACACCAGAGUGUAAAGAUGAAUAUGGAUUUCCUGAUGAAGCAGAUCCGCACUCGUUGAAGAAUGAGAGAGGUUCAUUAGGUGUUGAACAAUCACUUAGUUUGCCGGCCCUUUUCUCACAGGAAAGCAUAGAAGAACCCAGUGAAUGUGUUGCCCUUUCUUCAGCAAGUGUUCAGGCUGAAACCGGAGUUAAUGAGUCAAAACCUGGUUUAGACAAUGAUACUACUGUAGAUUUUAGUACAGUUUCCAAAAGUGAAGAUUGUCUGGUUACUUCUCAGCAAGAUAAUGAAGAUGAAGGAUUAACGAAGGCUAGUAAUGAACAAGAGCAGGUGGCAACUGGUCAGCUAGAUUUGGAGGCUGCAAGUAUCAUGGAGGACGCUGAUUCUGAGGAAGUAGCCUAUGAUGAAGAAAAUAAGAAGCCUGUUCAUCCUACAGACAUUAAUUCUUUGUGUCAAAAAAUAAAUGUCAGCGGACCUGUUGAGCAUGCUUCUGGUCUUGGUGAUGCUUUAUUGAGCUCCUCACUAAUUGCUUGUACCGAUGACAGUGAUGUGCAUCUGAGUUCUAAUCCUUGCCUGUUUGAAUCAACUGAUUUCCCGGAUGAAAUAGAUUGGUCCAAUACCGAGGCUUUGCAGCAGGGUCUCAAAAAGCAGCAAUGCGACGAGCGCAAGGAAUACCAAGUUCCUUUUGGAGCCGGUAAUGAUAUGAUUGAAGCUGGCACAAAAGACAUAAACAGUGGAGUUCCACCACUUCGAGCUGAAGAAACAUCAAAUAUGCGAGACGAGCAGCUUAACACUAAGCUGCCGCGCACAGAAGUUGCGGAAUUUGGCCUUAGCUGUGACAAAGGCAGUAAUAAUUAUUUAGAUACUGAAUCUGUGGUGAACAGUGUUUGUACAAAUAUUCCGUCGGAUUCCAGUUUACCAACGGAUUGUUCUACGGAUGAUUACCAGCAAAUGGAGCUCUUUAAAGGCCCUGCUGAACAAAAAUCUCCCGAAGAUGCUUCUAUGUGCUAUAAGGACAGUGAUCCAAGAGCAGUGACAGCUACCAUUGAGAAGCCUUCACCUUCAUUUGAUUUAGCAAUUCCAGAUUUUAAACAUGAAGGUCCUCUAUCAGAGGAAGCAGUGUACUCAAUGAAGAAUGACACUGAAAGCUGUUCACGAGAUCACAGACGAUCGUCCAUUGGGCUUCGUCACUUGUUCUCGCAGGAGUCAUUUAAAGGACCAGAUGUGCAUGAUGAUCUUGUGCUUCCAAGUACUGAGAAUGAAGAUGAUUCCAACACUCGUCAUGCUGAAAAAAUUGUUUCUUCAGAACCUGAUUCACAUCAAGGGUCUCCUGUAGAUUUAAGUAUAGUUGAAGAAAUUAAGGGUUUGUUUUCAUCUGAGAGAGACGAUGAACAAGGAUUCUUGAGUCCCGGCCACAAAACAGAAUGUAUUGCAUCUGCCCGGUUGGAUUCAUCAGAGGAUUGUAAUCUUGUGAAAAGGGAUAUUAAUACUGAAGUGAUCUGCAAGGAGGAAGAGAAACAGGAACUUGUUCCUUCUUCUGACACUCGCACCCUUCAUGAAACAUCAAAUACUGAUGAACCUGAUGAACAGAGAAUAACCCUGCUGCAAGCUGCGGAAACAUCGGCUUCAGCAGAUAAGCAGCUUAGCUCCGAGCUGGAGGACGAUGAAUUUAAGGAACACAACUUUAGCAGUGAAGAAACGAUUGGCAUAUUUGGUGUUGGAUCGGUGAAGAGUAAUCUAUUCCAUUUGCAUGAAGACUCUCACACCAAUCCUAUCCAGGGAAAGGAGCUCCCAGAUAACCUAUCUGCACCCAAAUCUCCUGAACAGUCCACGUUUGGUCAGGCUGAGAGUCUUUUAGGAUCAGGCAUUUGUCAGGCUGUCGUUCAAAGGAGUACAGAAGAAAUCAACACCAAGCUCCAACAUGAGCGUAAAGAGGAAUGCAGUAAGUACAUUGACGAUCAAACCACUCUCAUGUCUGAAUGUGCACUGUUUGGAGGAUCAGUAAGUGGAACGACACUGCUGCCAACUGCAGAAACAUCUUCAUUGCCAGAUGAGCAAUUUGGCCCUAUGCUCGAGUGUGACGAAUUUGAGGAACGUGACCGUAGUUAUGAUGAAGAUGCAAGCUACUUAUUUGGUUCUGGGUCUCUGAAGAACAAUGUGCCCAAUCUGGGUCAUAAGGAGGAAUACUAUGAGCACAGUGAUGAUCCAGCCAUACUAUCAGGUGGCAUGCCCAAGCCCUCACCGAUUAGAGAAUCAGAAAGUGGAGUGGCACUGCAGCCAGCUGAAGAAACACCAGCAUUGACAAAUGAGCACCUUAACUUUGAGAUGGAGGAACUGGGCCUUUGCAUUAGUGACAUGUCUGAUACUGGAUUAAUGGAGAACAACGAUCUAUCUUGCUUGCCCAAAGACACUUAUAUGGAAACGUGGAACGAAGAUGAGAUUUCAAUUGGCACGCCUGCAGCUAAAUCUCCAGGAGAAUCUGCAGUUUGCCCAGAUGACAGGGUUCCUGGGUCAGUAGGAAUCUGCCAAACUAGUGGGCGACGGCGCAUAGAUGAAAUUAGCACAAAGUUGCUGAGCUUCAAAAUUUCGAGUGCAGUCAAAGGAAGUUACAUUGCCAUGGACUCUGCUGAUGAGCCGAAGCAAGGCGACAACCUGAGUCCGGCUGCUUUGCCAGGGAACUGGGAGAAUGUUUCUGCAGCCAAAGCAGAUAAUCCUGCAAAGCAAAACAGUGACUGCUCGGUUGUGAAGGACUCCUCAAGCUGA